GAGCAGACGAUGAAGGGAAGAGUAAGCCGACACUCCUUAUUGCAGAGAGCCGGGGUAGCUGCAAACCGGCAUAAGCGAGCAGGCUGAAGAUGGCCCCUGAGUUUCGCGGAUGAACAGGCAGGCUUUUUGGCUGCAGUAGUUUGCGACGCAUGCCCGCGUUAUGGGUGGAGUCAACGAUUGACUCCUCAAGUCCGUUCGCCGUGAGGGAACGGAGUAUUUGGGUGGUACCGCGAGAUCAAGCUCGCCCCAAUC
rnacentral:ncRNA from 1 species